rnacentral:rRNA from 1 species
AUUGAACGCUGGCGGCAGGCUUAACACAUGCAAGUCGAGCGGGGGGAGGUAGCUUGCUACCUAACCUAGCGGCGGACGGGUGAGUAAUGCUUAGGAAUCUGCCUAUUAGUGGGGGACAACAUUUCGAAAGGGAUGCCAAUACCGCAUACGCCCUAAGGGGGAAAGCAGGGGAUCUUCGGACCUUGCGCUAAUAGAUGAGCCUAAGUCGGAUUAGCUAGUUGGUGGGGUAAAGGCCCAACAAGGCGACGAUCUGUAGCGGGUCUGAGAGGAUGAUCCGCCACACUGGGACUGAGACACGGCCCAGACUCCUACGGGAGGCAGCAGUGGGGAAUAUUGGACAAUGGGGGGAACCCUGAUCCAGCCAUGCCGCGUGUGUGAAGAAGGCCUUUUGGUUGUAAAGCACUUUAAGCGAGGAGGAGGCUACUGGUAUUAAUACUACUGGAUAGUGGACGUUACUCGCAGAAUAAGCACCGGCUAACUCUGUGCCAGCCGCCGCAGUAACAC